rnacentral:tRNA from 5 species
GGACGCGUAGCUCAGCUGGUUAGAGCGCUCGCCUCACACGCGAGAGGUCAUGGGUUCGAGUCCCCUCGUGUCCACCA